UUAGUAUGUAAAAGUUGGCAACUAUUUUAGCUCAUGAGAAUCGGGGAUCCGCCUGUGCAAAGACUGCCCCUACAUGACGACAGCUUGCUUCGGCUCAUGCUAUAAGGUGUUGGGUUAAGUCUCGCAACGUGUGCAACCCUUGUGUUUAGUUGCCACUAUGAGCUUUGAACCCUGAACAGACCGCCGAUGUUAGGUUGGAGGAAGGAGGGUAUGAAGCCAAGUCAUCAUGACCCUUAUGCCCUUGCGACACAUAUGCUAGGAUGGGUGGGACAAAGGGUCACAAUCUCGCGUGGGUGAGAUGACCCCAAAAACAUAUCCUUAGUUCGGAUAGCAGGCUGCAACUUGCCUCCAUGAAG
rnacentral:ncRNA from 1 species